AGUGAACGCUGGCGGUAGGCCUAACACAUGCAAGUCGAACGGCAGCACAGUAAGAGCUUGCUCUUACGGGUGGCGAGUGGCGGACGGGUGAGGAAUACAUCGUAAUCUACUUUUUCGUGGGGGUUAACGUAGGGAAACUUACGCUAAUACCGCAUACGACCUACGGGGGAAAGCAGGGGAUCUUCGGACCUUGCGCGAUUGAAUGAGCCGAUGUCGGAUUAGCUAGUCGGCGGGGUAAAGGCCCACGAAGGCGACGAUCCGUAGCUGGUCUGAGAGGAUGAUCAGCCACACUGGAACUGAGACACGGUCAAGACUCCUACGGGAGGCAGCAGUGGGGAAUAUUAGACAGUGGUCGCAAGUCUGAUCCAGCCAUACCGCGUGGGAGAAGAAGGCCUUCGGGUUGUAAAGCCGUUUUGUGGGGAAAGAAAAGCAGCAGCUUAAUACCACGCUGUUCUGACGGUACCCAAAGAAUAAGCACCGGCUAACUUCGUG
rnacentral:rRNA from 1 species